ACUAAAUAUUUGCUAACAUACGAAUGUAGGAUGUGUUUGUGUAGUAUUAAAAUGACGAAAGCGGAAUUUUGUUUACAUCGCAAUAUAUUAUUAAAAAAUAUACAAUAUAUAUACAUAUACUUAUGUACAUUUCCAGGAGUUUUUAGAAGCACAAAAAUAAGAAUUAAGAUUUACAUAUAUUAGGGGAGAAAGUAGAAAUCUGUAAAACCUCUCUUCAAAACUAUCGUGGAUAAUUAAAAAUUGAGUGUUUGUGUGAUAAUUACUACCAACUUUGUUUAAAAAAAACGGCACUAACCGACACUCGAGAUAUGAAAACUAUGUAAAUUACAAUAGAACUUUCGACAACAGUUAAAGCAAUUAAGAUAAAUUCUUGAGCGUAUUUUCAAAAUAAAGGAAUAAAAAUCACGCGCGUGGGAGCUGCAUCGUACAAUACCUAAGUGAUACCGUUCUUGUUAAUAUGAACGAACAGUGUUGUGCAACCUAUGGUACAAGUAACAAGUGAACUGUAAAAAUAAAGUAAUGGCGAGGGGGUGUGGUACGAAGUGAAAGCAACAAUAUUUGAAAUUCACAAUGAGAAACUGUCAAGGCAAAUAGGCAUGUGCAAUUGUACUAAUUAAAUUCACCUUUGGAAGCAUCGGCGUAAAACAAACAGCGAGAAAGCAAACAUACAAACGUACAAUGACUUAAAUUAAUUUCAUGAAAAAGAUAGCUGCAAUUGGCAAAGGAGAUUGGGGAUGCUUUCUGCUUCUGAUUUGGGGAGAAAAUUUUUGGGAAAAUGUAAAAAAGAGAAUUUAUGGCAGUAAUGUGGCAAAUACUGAUCAAUUUUUCCAAAAAAGGGUUCUGAGAUAUGGAUAAAUAUACCCCAAUUCAUCGUUUCAUUGCCAUGGCGAUUUAAAGCAGUGAUAGGGAGUAAUGAGUUUGCCCAUGCCCACAACAGUCGGGUCGACAUAACCGGAACUGACCCGAAUUUUUUAACCAAUCGACUGUCAACUCAACAGAAUUCUGCCACUACAAUAACAACAACAGUAAUGAGUUUGCCACAAAAUCUAAGGAUUUGCUUUUAUUUUACUAAAAAUAAUAUGCCGUUUUCUUUCAGUUGUUUUUUUUCUUAUUGAAUAUGUACUAUAGAUGUUACAUCGAUUUUUAUUACAUUAAAUAAAAAACUGUGAAAUUUUAAUAAA